rnacentral:rRNA from 1 species
GACAGAGGGGGCAAACGUUGUUCGGAAUUACUGGGCGUAAAGCGCGUGUAGGCUGUUUUGCAAGUCGGAUGUGAAAGCCCUGGGCUCAACCUAGGAAGUGCACUCGAAACUGCAGAACUGGAGUCCUGGAGAGGAAGGCGGAAUUCUCGGUGUAGAGGUGAAAUUCGUAGAUAUCGAGAGGAACACCGGUGGCGAAGGCGGCCUUCUGGACAGUGACUGACGCUGAGACGCGAAAGCGUGGGGAGCAAACAGG